AACGGCCAUACCAUGCUGAAUAUACCGGUUCUCGUUAGAUAAUCGAAGUCAAGCAUCAUUGGGCGCGGUCAGUACUUGGGUGGGUGACCACCUGGGAAACACCG
rnacentral:rRNA from 1 species